AGGUUAAGUUAACAAGGGCGCAUGGUGAAUGCCUUGGCACUAGGAGCCGAUGAAGGACGGGACUAACACCGAUAUGCUUCGGGGAGCUGUACGUAAGCUAUGAUCCGGAGAUUUCCGAAUGGGGCAACCCAGCAGUUUUAAUCAACUGUUACCACUAGAUGAAUUCAUAGUCUAGUUGGAGGUAAACGCUGUGAACUGAAACAUCUCAUUAGCAGCAGGAAUAUAAAGAAAUUUCGAUUCCCUAAGUAGCGGCGAGCGAACGGGGAACAGCCCAAACCAAAGUGCUUGCACUUUGGGGUUGUAGGACUGAACAUUUGAGUUACCAAAGAACUUGAUAGUCGAAGGAUUUGGGAAAAUCCGCCAUAGAUGGUGAUAGCCCAGUAGAUUAAAUCAAAUUCUCUCAGUUCAGGAUCCUGAGUACGGCGGAACACGUGAAAUUCCGUCGGAAUCCGGGAGGACCAUCUCCCAAGGCUAAAUACUACCUAGUGACCGAUAGUGAACCAGUACCGUGAGGGAAAGGUGAAAAGCACCCCGGGAGGGGAGUGAAAUAGUUCCUGAAACCAUGUGCCUACAAUAAGUCAGAGCGCGUUAAUGCGUGAUGGCGUGCCUUUUGUAGAAUGAACCGGCGAGUUAUGAUCCCGUGCAAGGUUAAGACUAAAAAGUUGGAGCCGUAGCGAAAGCGAGUCUGAAAUGGGCGUUUUGAGUACGAGGUUAUAGACCCGAAACCAGGUGACCUAUCCAUGUCCAGGUUGAAGGUGCGGUAAAACGCACUGGAGGACCGAACCCGUGUAAGUUGAAAAUUGCUGGGAUGAGGUGUGGAUAGCGGUGAAAUUCCAAACGAACUUGGAGAUAGCUGGUUCUCUCCGAAAUAGCUUUAGGGCUAGCCUCGGAAUUAGGAUCAUGGAGGUAGAGCACUAUUUGGACUAGGGGCCCGUCUUGGGUUACUGAAUUCAGAUAAACUCCGAAUGCCAUUGAUUCAUAUCCGGGAGUCAGACGAUGAGUGAUAAGAUCCACCGUCGAAAGGGGAACAGCCCAGACCAUCAGUUAAGGUCCCUAAAUGUAUGCUAAGUGGAAAAGGAUGUGGAGUUGCAUAGACAACUAGGAUGUUGGCUCAGAAGCAGCCACCAUUUAAAGAGUGCGUAAUAGCUCACUAGUCGAGUGAUCCUGCGCCGAAAAUGUACCGGGGCUAAGCAUACUACCGAAACCAUGGAUGCGACCAUUAGGUCGCGUGAUAGGAGAGCGUUCUAAGGGCGGUGAAGCAAGAUCGUGAGGACUUGUGGAGCGCUUAGAAGUGAGAAUGCCGGUAUGAGUAGCGAAAGAUAGGUGAGAAUCCUAUCCACCGAAUGACUAAGGUUUCCUGGGGAAGGCUCGUCCUCCCAGGGUUAGUCGGGACCUAAGUCGAGGCCGAGAGGCGUAGACGAUGGAUAACAGGUUGAGAUUCCUGUACUAGUUAAGUGCGUUUGAGCAAUGGAGGGACGCAGGAGGCUAAGAUGUGCAUUCUGUUGGAUUAGAAUGUCCAAGCAGUAAGUCUUGUGAAGAGUCAAAUGCUUUUCACUUUAAGGACAAGCUGUGAUGGGGAGCGAAAUUUAGUAGCGAAGCGUCUGAUGUCACACUGCCGAGAAAAGCUUCUAGUGAGUACUUAACUACCCGUACCGCAAACCGACACAGGUAGUCGAGGAGAGAAUCCUAAGGUGAGCGAGUGAACUCUCGUUAAGGAACUCGGCAAAAUGACCCCGUAACUUCGGGAGAAGGGGUGCUGAUCGCAAGAUCAGCCGCAGUGAAUAGGCCCAGGCGACUGUUUAUCAAAAACACAGGUCUCUGCAAAAUCGUAAGAUGACGUAUAGGGGCUGACGCCUGCCCGGUGCUGGAAGGUUAAAAGGAUGGGUUAGCUUCGGCGAAGCUCAGAAUUGAAGCCCCAGUAAACGGCGGCCGUAACUAUAACGGUCCUAAGGUAGCGAAAUUCCUUGUCGGGUAAGUUCCGACCCGCACGAAAGGCGUAACGAUCUGGGCACUGUCUCAACGAGAGACUCGGUGAAAUUAUAUUGUCCGUGAAGAUGCGGACUACCCGCGACAGGACGGAAAGACCCCAUGGAGCUUUACUGUAGCUUGAUAUUGAGUGUUUGUACAGCUUGUACAGGAUAGGUAGGAGCCAUAGAAACCGGAACGCUAGUUUCGGUGGAGGCGUUGGUGGGAUACUACCCUCGCUGUAUGACCACUCUAACCCGCACCACUAAUCGUGGUGGGAGACAGUGUCAGGUGGGCAGUUUGACUGGGGCGGUCGCCUCCUAAAAAGUAACGGAGGCGCCCAAAGGUUCCCUCAGAAUGGUUGGAAAUCAUUCGCAGAGUGUAAAGGCACAAGGGAGCUUGACUGCGAGACAGACAGGUCGAGCAGGGACGAAAGUCGGGCUUAGUGAUCCGGUGGUACCGUAUGGAAGGGCCAUCGCUCAACGGAUAAAAGCUACCCUGGGGAUAACAGGCUUAUCUCCCCCAAGAGUCCACAUCGACGGGGAGGUUUGGCACCUCGAUGUCGGCUCAUCGCAUCCUGGGGCUGUAGUCGGUCCCAAGGGUUGGGCUGUUCGCCCAUUAAAGCGGUACGCGAGCUGGGUUCAGAACGUCGUGAGACAGUUCGGUCCCUAUCCGUCGCGGGCGUAGGAAAUUUGAGAGGACCUGUCCUUAGUACGAGAGGACCGGGAUGGACAUACCUCUGGUGUACCAGUUGUGCCGCCAGGCGCAUCGCUGGGUAGCUACGUAUGGAUGUGAUAAACGCUGAAAGCAUCUAAGUGUGAAACACACCUCGAGAUGAGAUUUCCCAUUCCUUUAUGGAAGUAAGACCCCUGAAAGAUGAUCAGGUAGAUAGGUUAGAAGUGGCAGUGCGGUGACGCAUGAAGCGGACUAAUACUAAUCGGUCGAGGACUUAACCAAG
rnacentral:rRNA from 1 species